rnacentral:tRNA from 1 species
GGGCCUUUAACUCAGCCGGUUAGAGUGCCGCACUCAUAAUGCGAGAGUCGGGGGUUCGAGUCCCUCAAGGCCCA